GCAUAUCAUAGCGGAGGAAAAGAACUAACAAGGAUUUCCCCUAGUAACUGCGAGUGAAGCGGGAAAAGCUCAAAUUUAAAAUCUGGCGGUCUUUGGCCGUCCGAGUUGUAGUCUGGAGAAGCGUCUUCCGCGUUGGACCGUGUACAAGUCUCUUGGAACAGAGCGUCAUAGAGGGUGAGAAUCCCGUCUUUGACACGGACUACCAAUGCUUUGUGAUGCGCUCUCAAAGAGUCGCGUUGUUUGGGAAUGCAGCGCAAAAUGGGAGGUGAAUUCCUUCUAAAGCUAAAUAUUGGCGAGAGACCGAUAGCGAACAAGUACCGUGAGGGAAAGAUGAAAAGCACUUUGGAAAGAGAGUUAAACAGUACGUGAAAUUGCUAAAAGGGAAACGCUUGAAGUCAGUCGCGUCGUCCGGAACUCAGCUUUGCUUCGGCUUAGUGCACUUUCCGGUUGACGGGCCAGCAUCGAUUUUGACCGCUGGAAAAGGGCUGGAGGAAUGUGGCACCUUCGGGUGUGUUAUAGCCUUCAGUCGCAUACAGCGGUUGGGAUCGAGGAACGCAGCGCGCCUUAUGGCUGGGGUUCGCCCACAUUCGCGCUUAGGAUGCUGGCAUAAUGGCUUUAAACGACCCGUCUUGAAACACGGACCAAGGAGUCUAACAUGCCUGCGAGUGUUUGGGUGGAAAACCCGAGCGCGUAAUGAAAGUGAAAGUUGAGACCUCUGUCGUGGAGGGCAUCGACGCCCGGACCUGACGUUUUCUGAAGGAUCCGCGGUAGAGCAUGUAUGUUGGGACCCGAAAGAUGGUGAACUAUGCCUGAAUAGGGUGAAGCCAGAGGAAACUCUGGUGGGAGGCUCGUAGCGAUUCUGACGUGCAAAUCGAUCGUCAAAUUUGGGUAUAGGGGCGAAAGACUAAUCGAUAUCUAGUAGCUGGUCUGCGA
rnacentral:rRNA from 1 species